rnacentral:rRNA from 1 species
GGUUUGAUCCUGGCUCAGAUUGAACGCUGGCGGGAUGCUUUACACAUGCAAGUCGAACGGCAGCACGGACUUCGGUCUGGUGGCGAGUGGCGAACGGGUGAGUAAUGUAUCGGAACGUGCCUAGUAGCGGGGAUAACUACGCGAAAGCGUAGCUAACCGCCACGCCCUUCGAGGGAAAGCAGGGGACCUUCGGGCCUCGCACUAUUAGAGCGGCCGAUAUCGUUGACUAGUUUGGUGGGGUAACGGCUCACCAAGGCGACGAUCCGUAGCUGGUUUGAAGGACGACCAGCCACACUGGGACUGAGACACGGCCCAAGACUCCUACGGGAGGCAGCAGUGGGGAAUUUUGGACAAUGGGGAAACCCUGAUCCAGCCAUCCCGCGUGUGCGAUGAAGGUAUUCGGGUUGUAAAGCACUUUUGGCAGGAAAGAAAUGGCACGGGAUAAUACCCCGUGCAACUGACCGGUACCUACAGAAUAGGCACCGGCUAACUACGUGCCAGCAGCCGCGGUAAUACGUAGGGUGCAAGCGUUAAUCGGAAUUACUGGGCGUAAAAGCGUGCGCAGGCGGUUCCGGAAAGGAAGAUGUGAAAUCCCAGGCUUAACUUUGGAACUGCAUUUUAACUACCGAGCUAAAAUUGUCAGAGGAGGUGGAAUUCCGCGUGUAGCAGUGAAAUGCGUAGAUAUGCGGAGGAACACCGAUGGCGAAGGCAGCCUCCUGGGAUAACACUGACGCUCAUGCACGAAAGCGUGGGGAGCAAACGAGAUUAGAUACCCUGGUAGUCCACGCCCUAAACGAUGUCAACUAGCUGUUGGGGCCUUCCGGGCCUUGGUAAGCGCAACUAACGCGUGAAGUUGACCGCCUGGGGAGUACGGUCGCAGAUUAAAACUCAAAGGAAUUGACGGGGACCCGCACAAGCGGUGGAUGAUGUGGAUUAAUUCGAUGCAACGCGAAAAACCUUACCUACCCUUGACAUGUCUGGAAUCCCGAAGAGAUUUGGGAGUGCUCGCAAGAGAACCGGAACACAGGUGCUGCAUGGCUGUCGUCAGCUCGUGUCGUGAGAUGUUGGGGUUAAGUCCCGCAACAAACGCAACCCUUGUCAUUAGUUGCUACGAAAGAGGCACUCCUAAUGAGACUGCCGGUGACAAACCGGAGGAAGGUGGGGAUGACGUCAGAUCCUCAUGGCCCUUAUGGGUAGGGCUUCACACGUCAUACAAUGGUCGGGACAGAGGGUCGCCAACCCGAGGGGAGCCAAUCCCAGAAACCCGAUCGUAGUCGGAUCGCAGUCUGUAAACUCGACUGCGUGAAGUCGGAAUCGCUAGUAAUCGCGGAUCAGCAUGUCGCGGUGAAUACGUUCCCGGGUCUUGUACACACCGUAAUCACCAUGGGAGUGGGUUUUACCAGAAGUAGUUAGCCUAACCGUAAAGGGCGAUUACCACGGUAGGAUUCUUACAGGGUGAAGUCGUAACAAGGUAG